rnacentral:tRNA from 1 species
CAGAAAAUAGUCUAAUUUAGGACUCUGGCUUUGGGAGCCAGGAGUGGGAGUUAGAAUCUCUUUUUUCUGG